CUGAUCCUCCGGUAGCGAAGGGCUAGAGGCAAACACCGAGCUCCUCCAGAGCCGCCCGGGAGCAGGGAGGGCUCCGCUAGCCCGGGGGGCCCUCCCCGCGGGGCAGAUGGUCCUAGGUGAUGACGAAAAGGGCAAUUUGCUUUUCCUCGUCUAUGACUCCACCACAUCACCCUGAAUGAGUUGAUGGAAACGGGGGCAUCCAUUUCUGUGCCACUACAGUUCUGUAAUACACUGUAAUCACUCAUAACGCUGCCCAGCCCCAGUUUCCCAUGAGAGAGAAAGGUGACUACUGGCAGGAAGAGACGUCUAACCUCUUAGAGAAACCACCAGCUUCUUAGUCUGUUAUUGUUUCUGCAUUAAAGUGUUGCUGCGGGCCGGGUGCGGUGGCUCAUGCCUGUAAUCCCAGUACUUUGAGAGGCCGAGGCGGGCGGAUCACGAGGUCGGGAGAUGGAGACCAUCCUGGCUAACACGGUGAAACCCCAUCUCUACUAAAAAUACAAAAAAAAUUAGCCGGGUGUGGUGGCCCGCGCCUGUAGUCCCAGCUACUCGGGAGGCUGAGGCAGGAGAACGGCGUGAACCCGGGAGGCGGAGCUUGCAGUGAGCCGAGAUAGCGCCACUGCAGUCCGGCCUGGGCGAAACAGCGAGACUCCGUCUCAAAAAAAAAAAAAAAAAAAAAAAAAAAGUGUUGCUGCUAUCAGGGCCGCUGUACAGAAUAUCAAAGAAGGACAUGUUUGACUCUGUUCUAAGAACGUGGAGCUCUUCUACAUAAUAAAAGAGAGUGUCCUUGAACUGGAAAUUUUAGGAAAUACAGUAAUAGAUGUAGUUGAAACAAUAUUUAAAAUGUUAUGCCAUCCUGUAUCAUUUAGUUAUACCAAAGAUCAGCAAACUUUUUCCAUUUCUAUAAAGGGCCAGAAAGGAAAUAAUCUAGGCCUUCCUGGCCCUACAGUCUGUCUCAGCUACUCAAUUCUGCCAUUGUAGUGCAAAGCAGCCACAGACAAAAUUUAAAUGAAUGAACCUGGCCAUAUUCCAAUAAAAUGAAUUUGAAUUUCAAAUAA
rnacentral:lncRNA from 10 species